UACGUAGGUGGCAAGCGUUAUCCGGAUUUAUUGGGUUUAAAGGGUGCGCAGGCGGCACGGCAAGCCGGCGGUCAAAUCGCGGGGCUCAACCCCGCCCAGCCGUCGGAACUGCCGGGCUAGAGUGGGCGAGAAGUGCGCGGAAUGCGUGGUGUAGCGGUGAAAUGCAUAGAUAUCACGCAGAACUCCGAUUGCGAAGGCAGCGCACCGGCGCCCUACUGACGCUCAGGCACGAAAGCGUGGGUAUCGAACAGG
rnacentral:rRNA from 1 species